GAGAGCGGCCCGAUGCGCGCGCGCAGAGAGAGAACCCGAGACAGAGAGGGAGAGGGAGAGAGGAGAGGGAGAGCCAACCACCGCCGAGUCAAGAUUCAGCGAUUCCACUGCAAUCGCCCUAAUGACAACAGCCUCAUAAUAUCUCCCCUAAAUCCACAAAUUCGGCUGCCUCUCUGAGGAGUGGCGGAGGAGCUGCGGGAGCUGAGAAGCCCAAGAGCUCUCUGGACCCAGAAAAGUCCCACAGAUGCCCACUCCUCACCACACAACAGAAGGAGCUCUGGUCCUGCCUGCCAGCCCCAGAGGGCACUCAAACUUUGGAGGCCAGCCACCCGGAUGAAGUGAAUAAGGCCUGAAAAUUGCUUGUUUGCUCGUAUUGUAAAAUAAUAAUAAUUACCAUUAUCAUUUUAAAACUGUCUAAUUUCUCUAGGGAAAGUAACAUCGAAAGCCUAAAACAGACGCCAAAAGGCCCAUAGAACACAGAGGGCCCUCUCUGCCUCUGGCCACCACAGCCCCUAGGCCAGGCAUGGGUAUUUAUUCUUAGGUAUGUUGCUUUUAAGAAGAUGUAAUCAGCAUCUUGAGCCGGGCCUCCCUUUGUGAGGCUUCUGUAACUAUGGAAGUGUGAUUUACGCAGAUUUGUCGGGGUCAGAGACGUCUUUCCCUGAGCACUGUGUAUAUUUAGACAGGACUCGGUUUGGUGUUAAAAAGUGUAUAUGUUGAAUGGAUUCACACACAGUAGCCAACAAUGACCACAUUGUCGGCCCGUGUACAACGCGUAUUGAAACGCAGCGCCCAGACUUCAACUAAUCUGCCCUCAAUAAAGCUGAAAUAAUUAUCCUAA
rnacentral:lncRNA from 1 species